UCAACUCUGAAGACAGAUCUACUAGCUGGCUUUGCUGGCUGUAGGCUGAAUAACUAUAGACAACUCUCAACAACGGAUAUCUUGGCUCCCGUAACGAUGAAGAACGCAGCGAAAUGCGAUACGUAGUGUGAAUUGCAGAAUUCCGUGAACCAUCGAAUCUUUGAACGCAAAUUGCGCUCGAGNNNNNNNNNAAAGAGCAUGUCUGCCUCAGCGUCGGCUACUACCCUCAACCAACUUUCCUAUUGCAGGAUAGGGAAUGCCGGUUGGAUAUGGCCGUCCGGUCUGCCCUUCGGGUUGCCGGUCAGCUGAAAUACAUUCACGCUGUGGGAGC
rnacentral:rRNA from 1 species